rnacentral:rRNA from 1 species
GACGAACGCUGGCGGCGUGCUUAACACAUGCAAGUCGAACGGAAAGGCCCUGCUUUUGUUUGGUGCUCGAGUGGCGAACGGGUGCGUAACACGUGAGUAACCUGCCCUUGACUUUGUGAUAACUUCAGGAAACUGGGGCUAAUACCGGAUAGUAGCUCCUGCUGCUUGGUAUGGGUUGGAAAGUUUCGGCGGUUGGGGAUGGACUCGCGGCUUAUCAGCUUGUUGGUGGGGUAGUGGCUUACCGAGGCUUUGACGGGUAGCCGGCCUGAGAGGGUGACCGGCCACAGUGGGACUGAGAAACGGCCCAGACUCCUACGGGAGGCAGCAGUGGGGAAUAUUGCACAAUGGGCGGAAGCCUGAUGCAGCAACGCCGCGUGCGGGAUGACGGCCUUCGGGUUGGAAACCGCUUUCGACUGGGACGAAGCGUGAGUGACGGUAAUGGGUAAAGAAGCACCGGCUAACUACGUG